AGACACAGAAGAGGAGAGAGAAAGAGAUUUAGUUUUUAAAACAAAAAUUGGACUCCUACCAUAUGGACUGUUUCAUAUUCUACUGUUUUAUUUUUUUCAUAACAUGUUAUUGAACAAAUAUUAAUUGAGCAUCUAGUCUGUGCCAAGAACUGUGCUGGCUACUGGGCAUAGAACAGUGAAAAAGGAGACAUGGUCCCUCUCAAGCUCAGCAGCUGCAUUUAUUCCAGCCAAACCUUUGAGCGUUUGUAAGUUUCUGAAGCGGGUUCCCUGACCUGCAUGCAGCGUUCACACCUCCUCCUCCAGCCUGAGGUCUGGAGUCCCCACCCUGGCCACAGGUCAGAGUCUCACUGAGGAGAAGGGCCAACCCAUCACCAAUGAGAAAAGUCCUGCUGAGGCCGUGGGAAGCCACGAGAACUCCGGCCCGUCUCUCUAGAGCCAGUGGACCUCAAAUUUUAGCUGCACGGAGGGAACAUGCUGAAGUGAGAAGUCCUAAAAGCUGUGAUGCCCCAGAAGCAAUGAGCGCACCUAAAACUCCGAUCUUGUUUCUACUUACCACGAAAAGAACCAAAGCCUUUUGAAGAAAUGGCAGAUACCAGGGCUGACAUGGGGAAAGUGCCAGAAAAGCCCAGAAAGUCUUGUGCCAGAAAAUAAGGAAGUGUUCAAAGAAUGAUAGCAACAUGUCAAGAGGACAAGAGCCUGCUUGCAGGGGCUCCCGCUGGAAAAAUCUGAAAUAAUUUGAACAAAAAAAUAAAUAUUGAUGGUAAAGGAGUAUAACCUAUUGAUUAAAGUAAGAGUUCAUGAGUCUACAUGGAUUGAUUUCUAAAUAAAGAAACAAGCAAACGGAUGAGGGAACAGAAAAGCUCUCCUUACAGUAGAAAGCAGUAAACAAUGUAGAAGGAAUGCUGGAAUCAGAAAAUAAUGAAGUGAUCCUGGUGAAUACCAAGAAAAUCAUUAAGCAAGAAUCACCAAUGGAUGCUAAAACUAGUGGGUGAAAAUCUGAAGAGUAAUAGAGUAUUUAUAGGGUAUUCAUGACAGUUGGUAAAAUAUUAACAGCUGGAGAAUUGGGGAGGGUACAUAGGAAUUUUGUACUAUCCUUGCGACUUUUUGUAAGUCUGAAGUGUCAAAAUAAAAAGUUACGAAAAAAGCA